CCUCGGAUCAGGUAGGGAUACCCGCUGAACUUAAGCAUAUCAAUAAGCGGAGGAAAAGAAACCAACCGGGAUUGCCUCAGUAACGGCGAGUGAAGCGGCAAGAGCUCAAAUUUGAAAGCUGGCCCCUCCGGGGUCCGCAUUGUAAUUUGCAGAGGAUGCUUCGGGCGCAGCCCCCGUCUAAGUGCCCUGGAAUGGGCCGUCGGAGAGGGUGAGAAUCCCGUCUGGGAUGGGGUGCCUGUGUCCGUGUGAAGCUCCUUCGACGAGUCGAGUUGUUUGGGAAUGCAGCUCUAAAUGGGUGGUAAAUUUCAUCUAAAGCUAAAUAUUGGCCGGAGACCGAUAGCGCACAAGUAGAGUGAUCGAAAGAUGAAAAGCACUUUGAAAAGAGAGUUAAACAGCACGUGAAAUUGUUGAAAGGGAAGCGCUUGCGACCAGACUCGCUCGCGGGGUUCAGCCGGCAUUCGUGCCGGUGUACUUCCCCGUGGGCGGGCCAGCGUCGGUUUGGGCGGCCGGUCAAAGGCCUCCGGAAUGUAGCCCCCCUCGGGGGGCCUUAUAGCCGGGGGUGCAAUGCGGCCAGCCUGGACCGAGGAACGCGCUUCGGCUCGGACGCUGGCAUAAUGGUCGUAAACGACC
rnacentral:rRNA from 2 species